AUGUAUGGGUCUGAUCCAAAGCCACUGAAGUCAAUGGGAGGCUUUCUAUUGACUCUAGUGGGCUUUGGAUCAGGCUCUAAAAU
rnacentral:pre_miRNA from 1 species